rnacentral:lncRNA from 1 species
AUUCCCUUAUCUUUUUCUACUCCUUCUGGAAUUCCUAUUAUGCGUAGAUUGGCCCGCUUUAUAUUAUCCCAUAGGUCUCUUAUAUUGCUUUCCAGUUUUUUGAUUCGGUUUUCUGUCUGUUGACCAAAUUGAGUGAUUUCCAUUAUUCUAUCUUCCAUAUCACUGAUUCGUUCUUCUGCAUUAUUCAUUCUGGUUUUUACUGCCCCUAGUUCAGUUUGCAUCUCUGCAAAUGAAUGUUCUAGUUUUUCUUGGCUCCUCCUCAUAUUUUCUAGUUCCUUUCUGAGGGUAUCUGCAUUACUGUUCAUAUCUUCUCUUAAUUCCUUCAGUAUUUUCACUAUUUCUCUUUUGAACUCCAGGUCUGUCAGACUGCCGAGAUCUGUUUCAUUGUUGACUGUUUUAGGUGAGUUCUCCUGUUGGUUUGAGUGGGGGUGGUUUCUCAGCUUCUUCAUCUUGCUUGUUGUUUUCUUUCUCCUGAGGGAGUUGUACUCUCCGUUAUCGGGCAGUGUUUGCCUUGUCACUGCCGUGGAAUAUUUCCUGAGGGCUGGCGUUGUUGGUCAAUCUUUUUUGAGGCAGUGUGGCUUUUCUGGAGUGUUGAUGGGGCUAACAGUGUUUCUUUGAAGCAAAGGAGGACUUCCUGAGGGCAGACAGGACUGAGAGGUCCACACCGCGAUGGUAGAUUUCACUUGGCCAUGCAGAGCUUGCUCUGGUGUUUUUAGGCUGUGGGGUUCUUGCAGGGGGUUGGCGGUGUUGGGCAGCUGCUUUUUAGGGGUGCAUCACCCCCUGGGGGCUGGAGCAGCUAUCUGGGGCAAUGAGAACCUGAGAGGCUCUUCCCUAGGGCAGCCCAACUCAGGACGACAGCCUGAGAAUGUAGGUGGAUCUUUUCACAGUCUGGCUGAGCUUGUUGCAGCUUUUCUGGGCUGCAGGGGGUCCUGCCUGGAGCUGGCAGUCCUAUGCAGCUGGUCCACUAGAGCAUCCCCUGGGGGCUUGGGCGGGUAGCAGGGCCGUUGGAAACCGAAGAGGCUCCUCCCCGGGGCAACCCGACUCAGAAAAACCGUCGGAGAAUUAGGCCGAUCUAUUCACAGCCUGGCUAAGCUUGUUCUAGCUUUUCUAGGCUGCAGGCCUUUUCUCGGGGGCUGGUGCUGUUUGGUGCUGCUCUGCGGAAGUGUAGCCCCUCCAAAGGGCAAGCAGGCCUGUGCAGGGACAGCCCCUGCGGUGGUAGGCUUCAGGCAAUUGUUGAGGCCAGCCCUCCUGGAUGGCAGGCAGCCCCAGGUCCAUGAGAGCAUAGGGCGUGGCGGGGGUGGGGGGAGGGGAUGCACUGGGAAGCACAGUUUUCAGCUAGCUAGCGGGCCUGUAAGCUUGCUGUGGCGUGGGGGGUAUUCUAUGGGGACCCACCCCUUCUUCUCUCCCCUCCCCAGCACGGGCACAGACUAGGCUCUUCUCCCAGGUUCCCUCUGAUGUGGCUUUCCCCUUCCCCGCCCCUAGAGUAUUGUUCCCUUCCUCUGCGACAGCUUUGUUUUCUAGUCUCCCAGGCAGUCUCUGCCCCGUCAACUGGUUUAGAGACCUCCCAAGCAGUUUCUGCUCUGCCCCGCCCCCCUAGCCCGGGGACUAAUCUCUGGAGCCGAGGUCUCGGUGCCCAGCCCCCCCCCAGGCGUCCCCCGGCUCCCUCUCGGGGACUAACCUUCCGCGGCGAGGUCUCGGUGCCCAGCCCCCACCCAGGCGUCCCCCGGCUCCCUCUCGGGGACUAACCUUCCGCGGCGAGGUCUCGGUGCCCAGCCCCCACCCAGGCGGCGCCCCCCCGGCCCUUUCUCGGGGACUAACCUUCGGCGGCGAGGUCUCGGUGCCCAGCCCCCCUCCCAGGCGUCCCCCGGCCCUUUCUCAGGGAUUAACCUUCGGAGGCGAAGGACCACAUCUUCUUUAUCCCUCUGUCGAUGGACUUUCAGGUGGUUUCGAUGUCUUGACUACUGUGAAUAGUGCUGCUAUGAACGUAGGGGUGCUUGGAUCUUUUCCAAUUAGGGUUUCUUCCAGAUGUGUGCCCAGGUAUGGGAUUGCUGGAUCCCAUGGUAGUUCUACGUGUAGUUUUUUGAGGAACCUCCAUACUGGUUUACAUAGUGGUUGUACCAAUUUAUGUUCCCACCAACAGUGUAGGAGGGUUCCCUUUUCUCCACACCCUCUCCAGUAUUUUUUUUUUUUAUUUUUAGGGCCACACCUGCAGCAUAUAGAAGUUCCCAGGCCAGGGGUCAAAUUGGAGCUACAAACCACAGCCACAGCAACACCAGAUCCGAACUGCAUCUGCAACUGACACCACAGCUCACAGCAGUGCUGGAUCCUUAACUCACUGAGUGGGGCCAGGGACGGAACCUGUAUCCUCAUGGAUCAUAGUUGGGUUCAUUUCCACUGAGCCACAACAGGAACUCCUCCCCAGCAUUUAUUAUGUGUAGAAGGUCCACUGCAUUUUUAACCAGUUCCUCUACCGCUUCAACUGCUGGCCCCACAGAGGUGCGCUCAGGGAAAACACUGCUGAAUUUGCAGAGACGAUUUGCAGUUUUGUCAUUACUUGUCUGGGUUAACAGGAGCCUCUCAGCCUUGGUCCCAUUUAUGGAAGAACAAAUCCAAGAGCCGUUUUCUUUGCACCUUCCUGAUGUUCAAGCACAAUGUUGCAGUGACUUUAUUUGUGUGUCAUGACACAUCGGCUGUGGUUUCAGGAGUUGGUCUGAAACAGCACGUGAAUCAUGAACCAGUUUCCGCUGGUUUGGCCCCUUCAGUGGGUUGUUGAUUGCUUACCUUGAAACGGCACCCGCUUCAACUGGUUUUGCCACCUUGAGGAGGUUGCUGACUCAUCAAAUCUUGAGUUAUUUUACAGGGACAACCUGGUACCUGUUCAAGACAGAAGCCCACAUCUCCAGGACGACCCCAGAACCAUGAAUCUUCUGUCUGCGGAACCUAAAGAACAGAAAAGUUGCCAGUGCCGCCCUUGAUGAGGCAGGAACUCUUUCAAUGGGAAGCAUCUGGCUUCAGCCACAGGGGUAGCAUCUAUGGCCUGACUCAAGACUAGCCAGUCAGCUUCCCCAACUCCUUGAACUCCACCCAGCCUCUGGAUGGAGGAGACAGGUUGGAGAGCCUUGCUUCUGGGCUCCUUGCUGGUUGACCGCACGGCAACGCUCUUCCUCUUACUAAAGUUGGUGCCGUGGGUUGGCUUCUGUGCGUGUCCGACGGGGAGCCUCUUCUCGGUGACAAAUCUGACCGUUUCUCAUGUGCCCAGUCGCCUGAGCAUCGGGCGUCUCAGCCAGUACGCACUCUACACGCCCCACUGGCCGCUCAGGAGGUCUGAGAUGUGUGUCCCGAGGGAUGACGGAACGCUGGUGCUAUUUUUCAUCAGGCUGUUGUGCAGGAUCCUUCCUCGUCCACUGGAUGCAAAGGUGUGGGGUCAGGAGAUGCCAACUAGGACAUUGAGAAUGGAUGAGCAAAGAGGUCCUGCUGUCCCACACAGGGGACUCCAUCCAGUCUCUUGGGAUAGACCAGGAUGGAAGAUGAUAUGAGAAAAAGAAGCACCUGCCUGGAUUGGGUGUAAAGGAUCCUGAGAGCGACAGCUUGUGACAUCCUCCUGAGUGAUGCUGAGGUGAUGCAGUCCCGUCAUCUUCAGCCUGCAAAGCCAUCUUGCCCAAGAAGCCUCAUUCCCGGGGCAUCCGGCCAUACGAGAAAGGCUGCCGGGGCUAAAGACGUUACAGACGAAGCACCUACCUUCCUGAAGCCUGUGACUCCCGACGGCGUCCCUGGAGGACGUCCCGGCGUGAAGGCUGGACGCUGUCCUGUACGGUGAAUCAGAUGACUCCUCUGCUCGACCCAGUCCAUCUCCAAGGGGGAGCAUGAACAUCAGACAUCAUCACCACAGAUCUCCAAUACCGUUUGAGGGCUCCAUCCACACGGCCUUUCCUGCUUCUCGAGGCUCCGUCCUGAGACCUGCCUGGGCACAUCCACACUUGCGGAGCCAGAGGCAGCCUCAGGGUCUGAACGCUGGCACCUGUCUGUGGAGCAGUCGGGAUUCCUCGGGGAAAAGAGAAACAGGUUCCGAUUAUUUUAGGGCCGUGACUGCAGCAUGUGGAAGUUCCCAGACUAUAGGGGUUGAAUCGGAGCUGCAGCUGCCAGUCUACACCGCAGCCAUGUGGGAUCCAAGCCACUUCUGUGACCUACACCACAGCUCACAGCAGAGGCAGAUCCUUAACCCAGGGAGUCCCCAUACCUCUCAUGAGAAGAUCUCCUGAGCAGUUCCCUGAGGCCGACGGAAAGGGGAACUGCCUGGGCGGACACCGGUCUCGCUGGGAAACUGAUGGUUGGUUCCGACGUGGCAGCGGCUUUGAGAGUUUUUAGAGAUUCCCCGAGAGAAAUCACUCUCUGCCAUCAAAUGACCACAGCAGAAUGACCGCAGUGCUCACAGCGCUAAGACUUCCCGCGAAGCCGUCUGCUCUGCUCCUGGGACGUCAGGUCAUAGGAGCUGGAAGGACCUCGCCGUCUCGGUGACAGUGACUACAAUUGGGAUUAACUUUCGGAGCAGAUGCUCGAUGGCUGUCUGCUUCCCACCUCUGUCACUGACGACUUACUUUCCAGGCAACCUCCCACCCUGGGUGCACGUGCCCACUGCCCGGCACAGAUGCACACAUGCAGACACAGACUUGUACAGAGAUGACACAUACACACCUGUACACACACACUCACAUAGACACACUUGUAGACACAUGCAUACACAAAACAUACAACAUGGGCAGACGUGCACAGACAUGCAGAAAUAGAUACACACACAUGCACAAAGACUCAGAUACAUAACACACAAGACCACACCCUCACACGGACACCCCUGUGCACAGAGUUCUCUAGAAUCCAAAAACCACUCUCCUGCCUUCUCUUUAACCAAGUUCAAAAACUACAGAUUUAUGGCCUUUCAUUUUUCUGAAUUGAAAAUACAACCAACAGUUC